GACGAACGCUGGCGGCGUGCCUAAUACAUGCAAGUCGAGCGCAGGAGAUCGACGGAACCCUUCGGGGGGAAGUCGACGGAAUGAGCGGCGGACGGGUGAGUAACACGUAAAGAACCUGCCCCCAGGUCUGGGAUAACCACGAGAAAUCGGGGCUAAUACCGGAUGGGUCAUCGGACCGCAUGGUCCGAGGAUGAAAGGCGCUUCGGCGUCGCCUGGGGAUGGCUUUGCGGUGCAUUAGCUAGUUGGUGGGGGUAAUGGCCCACCAAGGCGACGAUGCAUAGCCGACCUGAGAGGGUGAUCGGCCACACUGGGACUGAGACACGGCCCAGACUCCUACGGGAGGCAGCAGUAGGGAAUCUUCCACAAUGGACGAAAGUCUGAUGGAGCAACGCCGCGUGAACGAUGAAGGCCUUCGGGUCGUAAAGUUCUGUUGUAAGGGAAGAACAAGUGCCGCAGGCAAUGGCGGCACCUUGACGGUACCUUGCGAGAAAGCCACGGCUAACUACGUGCCAGCAGCCGCCGUAA
rnacentral:rRNA from 1 species